UGUGGGAGCGAGCCUGCUCGCGAUGCAGGCAACGCGGUUUAUCCGAAUGAUCGCGGUGAUCCCUUCGCGAGCAGGCUCGCUCCCACU
rnacentral:misc_RNA from 1 species